UUUUUUUUUAGGGCCACACUGGUGGCAUAUGGAGGUUCCCAGGCUAGAGGUCUAAUCGGAGCUGCAGCCGCCAGCCUCUUCCACAGCCAGCAAUGUGGGAUCUGAGCUGUGUCUGUGACCAACACCAUAGCUCACGGCAAUGGUGGAUCCUUAACCUACUGAUCAAGGCCAGGGAUCAAACUGGCAUCCCCAUGGAUACUAGUUGGGUUUGGAACCUGCUGAGCCACACCAGAACGCCCCUCUUUUAUUUCUUGUAGAAUUUGAAAGAUGACUGGGCGUGUGUGGGACCUUAGCAAAUACUGAGUAGGUAAGAGAGUGAUGCCCAGAGCGUGACUUUUUCUACAAAGAAGGGUAGGUGGCACAGACUGUCCCAGGAAGUGAGAGAGGUGGGAAUGGUACCGUGGGAGGGACAAUUUUUUGGUCAUGUCCAUGGCAUGUGGCAGUAACCCAUGCCACAGCAGCAGACUGAGCCACUGCAGCGACAGUGCUGGAUCCUUAACCUGCUGUACCACUAAGGCACUGCUUAGUGGGUAAUAAACAGACCGGAAGGGACAGGGCUUAUUAACAACAGUGACAAUGCUUUCCACAAAUUCUAAUGUGAAAUCAACCCAGAAAGAAGUACAGAAACUCACAGGCACCCUGGGACCCCUGCGGGAAGACAGCAUGGGGAAUGCUUAAAUAGGAUGGCUUGGCCAGAGGACUGGGGACUGCACCUUAGGGCUGGGGCUUGUUCUAGAGGUCCCAUGUUUCUGGCUGGACAUCUGGCCUGUGUGUAGCGCCCCGGGGGUGGUAUGGAAGAGGGAGAACUUUCUGAGCCCUACCUGGGUACCUGGUUCUGGCCCCAGAGGUGUUCCUGGGCUGUUUGUCCCCAGGAGCAGGGGAUGGAACUGCCAGAAUUUAAAAUGGCUGAGCUCGGUCCUUGUGCUUUUUGGGGGUCACUGCUCCCUUUUUUUUUCACUUUUCCUCUUUCUCUUAAUCUAAUGCGCAAGACUAAAUCCAACUUAAUUAGGAUUAUAUGUCUUAUAAAUUUAGUAUUUAAUAUUCAAGCAGGCUCUCCCCCGCCCCUGUAUUUCUUAAAGGUAUCCUGGGAGGAAUGUUAAUGAGUCGCGACGUCAUACACAUUUAGAUCGAAGGAGCUGAAAGCAGGGGAGGGGGACAGAGAGGUACAGAUCAUUUUCGGAGCCCAAAAGGAUGAAAUGCGCCUCUUGGAUUGGGACUGGCUGGGCAGAAAUGUGAUUUCAAGGUUCAGAGCUCUGCGCUGUGUUCUUGUCCUAAGCGGCGUAGAGCCGGGGUGUGCUGUGCGCUGGCCAGUCAGGCUGGCUUUGCAUUUGAGCACAUGCUUUGCCUUCAGGAUGCCAGAGCACACAUUUCAGUGAAUGACGGUGGAAACAUCCUAGCUUGAUGCUGCACCCAUUCUGUCUCCUUCUCUGGCUGCCUGGAAGCAGCAUUUGGUGUAGAUUCAGCAUUUGCACGACUGACCUUAAUGCCAAACCUUCAUCCGGAAGCUGAGUGUUUUAUAAUCAAAAUAACAGAGGGAGGGGGACCCUUGAGGCUCAUCUCCAGCCCUGGGCAAGAACUUUUCCAUGGUCGUACUCCCCAUCGCCCUUAUUUCUGUGGAUCUGAAUGAUGCACAAAUUGCCCUCUCUCCUGAUGAAACUGGCUUAUUGAUCCAUCUGAACUGAGAGGGGUGCAGAGGGAUACAGUCUCCCCUCCCAUCCCCCGUGACGUCAGAUAGCCCUGGUUUUCCGGCCCCUCUGAGGAAGUAGAGGGCUCCUGGUCUGGUCCACUGUUCAAUUCCUUUCUCCACCCCGCCGAUCCGAGUCAGCCUCCUCUGCCCCGCUCUGGAGGCGCUGGUACAGUGGCACAGCCACGGGCUGCUCUCUUAGGAGGGCUGCUCUCUUUGUCUUUAGUGGUGCUGUAGGAGUGUGCUCUGGGCUGUCUGUGCCCGGCGGGCUGGGGAGGAGGGGUAAGAGGUGUCCAGACAGACCAGGGGCAGACCCUGCCCUUUUCCUGCUGGGGCUGAAUGAGAUCCAGCAUCUACUUCUUGCAGGCGCUUCCGGUCCCUACAGCUGAGCUGCCUUCUUGGCUCAGAUUCAGGGGACCGUCUUUCCCCAUGGAAAAGGGAGGAAAGAGCCAGUGUUCUUUCCCCCAGGACUUGAACUCUGUAUUUUUGAAAAUUGUCUUAACUUCUCUUUUGCUUUCCGCUUAUAUAAACUGUGUCUGGGAGGAAGAUGUGAAAAGAGCUGGAGAUAGGACUUUCUCGAAAGUUUCUGGAAGCUUCUGUAAGAAUGUAGGAAACAAACCCAAGUAAUAUCCAUGAGGAUGUGGGUUCAAUCCUUGGCCCCACUCAGUGGGUUAAGGGUGCGGUGUUGCCAUGAGCUAUGGUGUAGAUCGCAGGUGGAAAACUUGGAUCUGACGUUGCUGUGGCUGUGGCAUAGGCUGGUGGCUAUAGCUCUGAUUCGACCCCUAGCCUGGGAACCUCCAUAUGCCACAAGUGCUACCCCCCCCCCAAAAAGGAGUAUAGGAUAUGCUUCAUACCUGGUAUUUUCAGGUUUGAGGCCUCAGCUAUGAUUCUGCAAGCCCAGGAAAAUAGAGAAGUAUCAUUCGUUAAAUCUGACAUGAGUUUUCCGUAACUGAAGUGAUAUUUUGACGCUACCUGCAGAAGCGCCCCUUCCAUCUUCAUGUUGUUCAUUUGCUUGGUUUUUCUUGUUUCUUUUUUUGAGGGCUUUUUAAUUUUUAUUUAUUAAUUUAUUUUUUAUCUUGUUAGGGCUGUACCUGUGGCAUAUGGAAGUUCCCAGGCCAGGGGGGUCAUAGUGGAGCUACAGCUGCUGACCUACAGCACAGCUCAUGGCAGCACUGGAUUCUCAACCCACUGAGCGAGGCCAGGGAUCAAACUCUUGUCCUCAUGGAUCCUAGUCGGGUUUAUUACUGCUUAGGCACAAUGGGAACUCCUGAGUCUUUUUUUCUUUUCUGUCAUUCAUUUGUUCAUACCUUCAUUCAUACAUUGAAUUCCUUGGCUCUUGUGUCCUGCAGUGGGCUUAAGUUAGGGAUACAGAUAUGAAUACAGAGAGCCAGCCCUGCCUCAAAAAGCUUCUAGGCAGGUAGGGGGUAGACCAGCUCAUGCAUGAAAGUUCUCAAAGAGGGGAGGAUAAAGGGCCAUGGGACAGCGUAUGGGGGUACCAGCUGAGUUGGUGGGUGUGCCAGGGAAGGCUCUCUGGAGUAGUGGUAACUAAGAUGAGCCCUGAAGUCUAAAUAGGAACUAGCUAGACAAAGGGGAUCAGCAGUGUAGGCAAAGGGAACAGCAUAUGCAAAGGCUCAGAGGGCAGAAAAAGGUACAUUUGGGAAACAGGAGGUUCAGGGUGACCUAAUCAUACAUAGGGCAGGGUGUGAGGACUCAGGGGUGACGUGAUAGUUGGCAGUAGAGUUGUGGCUGGAGCCUAUCAGAAAGGGCCUGGCUCCAGGAGGGGACUUUAUCCUGGGGGCAAAAGUCAGUCCCUGGAGGUUGUCCUAUAGGAACUGGUACCACCUGUCUCCUGGUUAUAAAACAAGCCUUGGCUGUGGGGGAAGAAUGGCUUGAAGGGGCCACUCCUAGAGUCAGAGAGACCAGCUAGGAGGCUGCUCCCAUGUUUUUCUGGUUGUCUGUUAUUUGCCUAGUCCAGGGGAGGGAGAGAAGUUGGUGGCCUGGGCUAGAACCAGUUAGGACCAGAGAAAGGUAGGUGGCUUCAAGGAACAUUUUGUUUCUUAUUUGCUCAUGCUCAAUUUUCACUGUAGAAAGAGCCCCUCCACCUGUGCUCCCAUCUCGGUGUCCCCACAUCUGCUGUCCUUUUCCAUGGGCACCCCAAAGAUUCAAAAUCACAGAUGCUAGUCCCUUAGCUCAGGGGUCAAAACCUAUAAGAGUGUGAGAUGGGUUGCCAUGGAAACCCAGAGCAAAUGGGGGUUUGGCCUGGCAGAUUGGAGGUGAGUGAUGGAGGCAAAAAAAAACGCUGUGAUGAGCUGAGGAGUUUUGGCUCAGAGUCCACCCUGACACAGGCCGAGGAGAAGGGAGUUGUUCUGUAUGCGUAGCAGAGACCUGCCAGGCUGGAUGGGGAGGCCAGGCUGCCUGGGAGAAGCCAGGUCUGAGUUCUGACCUGGUGGGAAGUAUUGGAAGGGGUGGUUGUAACUAUGGCAACCACAGACCUGUGGGUACAGAGGGCGGCCUGUGGCCUGAGAUCUGAAGGGCAAGGUGGGUGUUGCAGGUGCCUAGGGAUGGGCAGCAGAUCGAUGAUAGACAGAUCAGGCUGUGGUCUCCAGAGCCAGGAGACAGUCUGGGAGGGACACUCCAGUGCUGCCCACUGAUAAUGUUAUGGUAACACACUAGGCCCCUGUCUCUCUGGGCUCUUCUCAUAUUGUCUGCUUCUUCUGUAGUGAACUUUCAGGACAGAGUCCUGGCAAACCUGUGUUCCUUGCCCUCCCACUACAGCCUUCACAUCUCCCUUUAUUCUUAUGUGUGUGUGUGUGUGUGUGUGUGUGUGUUUGGUCUUUUUAGUGGGGCACCCAUGGCAUAUGGAGGUUCCCACGCUAGGGAUUGAAUUGGAGCUGUAGCUGCCAGCCUACAGCACAGCCACAGCAACCCAAGAUCUGAGCCACGUCUUCGACCUACACCACAGCUCAUAACAACGCCGGACCCUUAACCCGCUGAGCAAGGCCAGGAAUAGAACCCAAGUCCUCAUGGGUAUAAGUCAUAUUCAUUAACCACUGAGCCACAGCGGGGCUCACCCUAGGUCAGGGAUUGAAUCUGAUUUGAGCUGCAGCUAUGAACUAUGCCACAGCUGCAGCAACACUGGCUCCUUAGCCCACUGUGCUAGGCCAGGGAUCAAACCCACACCUCUGUAGCACCCUGAGCUGCUGCAGUUGGGUUCAUAACCCACUGCACUACAGUGGGAACUCCCAUCUCUAUUUUUUUUCUGUCUUUUGUCUUUUUAGGGCCACACCCACAGCAUAUGGAGGUUUUCAGACUAGGGGUCUAAUCAGAACUGUUGCUGCCAGCCUACACCAGAGCCACAGCAACACCAGAUCCGAGCCGCAUCUGUGACCUGCGCCACAGCUCAUGGCGAUGCCAGAUCCCAAACCCACUGAGCAAGGCCAGGGAUCGAAUCUGCAACCUCAUGGUUCCUAGUCGGAUUCAUUUCUGCUGUGCCACGACGGGAACACCCCGUCUCUGUUUUUGUGCACCACCCUGCUCUGCUCCACCACGGGUCAUUCUCCCUCUUCUCUGUCCCCUAUCCCUCCCCCCAGCUGGUCAUCAGACCCCUUGUGGGGCCGUGCUGACUCCUGGUGGGAAGACUUCCCAGUAAUGUUUCACAGCCUGUGGAAAAGAAGCAGACAAUGGCUAGAAUCUCAAAGGCCCCUGAAUCUCUUCCCACUCCCGGCCCACGGGGAGCCCGCCUCCUUCCUCAGUUUCUUCCUUUUGUAGUGGGUGACCCUGCAGCUUGCUGGGGUGGCCAGAUGCAGGGUGAAGGGGGGAAACUCACUCAGUUAGCAGGGACCCCUCAGAACGGAGAGUGCAUUCCUGUGGCCAGGAGCUGCCUGGCCAGGGGCUCUGAGGCUAUGAGGGGGCGCGGUCUGGGCAGAGGCCUGCAGGGAUUGGGGCUGCCCCGUCUGGGGCAUUGGUGGUUCCAGGAAGAGGGCUGUUCUCUCAGAGCCCUCUCUUUGGCUGAUUUUGCAUUUGAAUUACAAACAGGGAUAAAGCUGGAGGCAGAUGGGAGCAGCAGAGGGAACCCUGCAGGCAGCGGGGAGCCUGAGCAGAGGCAAAAAUGAGGCUAAUCUUACGUGUGUUAUAUCUGCCAGGGAGGUGCCUGGCUCACUUGGCAUCGAGAGCCUUCUUAGGAGAGGUACAGAGAAGGAUGGAGGAGGGGUUAAACAGGAAGGCACCCUUUGGGCUGCCUCCCCCCUCCACCCCGGGGGCUAAUAGAGCUUGGGAAUCUUCUCCAAGCAGGCAUGGUGAUUCUUAUAACACAACACAUCUUGGACUCAGGAAAGGAAAACUGGAGGAGAAUAAAAACGGACCCUCUGAAGUUCAAAUACACUGCUCCCCAGCGGGGUCGCUUUCCAUCCCUCUCCUCCAAACACAGCCUUUCCCGUGUUUGCUGUUCUGGUGGCCGCUGUCAUCUCUCGAGAUGGAGUUUUCCAUUCUUGGAAGGAAGCUCUGCCCAAGCCAAGGGUGUGGCCACAACUUCCUAAAGCGCCCGUGGAGCCCCACCGAGAAACUCAAGGCCACGGCCCUGGGGAGCGGUGGGAGGCUCUACGGGUGUCUGGCUGGUGGAUCUCUGCUCCGGGCCCCAGCUAACAGGCUGUUAGCAGCUUCCCCAAGGAGACACACGUUUUUAGUUGCAUCACUUUCACAGGCUUUUCUCAUCAGUUCAGCUUUUUUAUUUGUUGUUCUAAGCUGCUGGCUUACCUUGUCUUUAUCAGCUC
rnacentral:lncRNA from 1 species